rnacentral:misc_RNA from 1 species
AACGCACAUUGCGCCCGCCAGUAUUCUGGCGGGCAUGCCUGUUCGAGCGUCAUUUCAACCAUCAGGCCCUGUCCAGCCUGUGUUGGGGCCCUGCGGCUGCCGCAGCCCCCUAAAUGUAGUGGCGGGCUCGCUGUUACCCCGAGCGCAGUAGCGUAUCUCGCUCUGGGCGUAGCGGCGGGUGCUAGCCGUGAAACACUCACUAAGGUUGACCUCGGAUCAGGUAGGAAUACCCGCUGAACUUAA